UACGGGGGGGGCAAGCGUUGUUCGGAAUUACUGGGCGUAAAGGGCUCGUAGGUGGCCAACUAAGUCAUACGUGAAAUCCCUCGGCUUAACCGGGGAACUGCGUCUGAUACUGGAUGGCUUGAGGUUGGGAGAGGGAUGCGGAAUUUCUGGUGUAGCAGUGAAAUGCGUAGAUAUCAGAAGGAACAUCAGUGGCGAAGGCGGCUUCCUGGACCAAUACUGACGAUCAGGUGCGAAAGCGUGGGGAGCAAACAGG
rnacentral:rRNA from 1 species